rnacentral:rRNA from 1 species
UACGAAGGGGGCUAGCGUUGCUCGGAAUUACUGGGCGUAAAGGGCGCGUAGGCGGACAGUUUAGUCAGAGGUGAAAGCCCAGGGCUCAACCUUGGAAUUGCCUUUGAUACUGGCUGUCUUGAGUUCGGGAGAGGUGAGUGGAAUGCCGAGUGCAGAGGUGAAAUUCGUAGAUAUUCGGCGGAACACCAGUGGCGAAGGCGACUCACUGGCCCGAUACUGACGCUGAGGUGCGAAAGCGUGGGGAGCAAACAGG